rnacentral:misc_RNA from 1 species
AAGUCGUAACAAGGUUUCCGUAGGUGAACCUGCGGAAGGAUCAUUAUUACGUAUCCAACGUAUAAACCAAACGCGAACUGUAUUCCGCUCAUUGCUGGAGUGACUAGGUUGCGCUGAUGUUCCACGUUAGUGUGCUGUCUUCGGACAGAGGAACUAGCAAUCUUAGUCUCUGCUUUUCUCGAAAAGCGGGACUCUGGCUGUGAGAUCGGUUAACAAACACUAACAAAUAUUAUAAUUAACCUUUUGUACCUUUACUGAACUAAAUAAUGUUUCGUGCUCUGUGGACUCGCAAGAGCUCACGGACUCGAAAUCUAUUUACGUAAUUCGAACAACUCUUAGCAACGGAUGUCUUGGCUCUC